GACGAACGCUGGCGGCGUGCUUAACACAUGCAAGUCGAACGGUAAGGCCCUUCGGGGUACACGAGUGGCGAACGGGUGAGUAACGCGUGAGUAACCUGCCCUUCACUCUGGGAUAACAGUUGGAAACGGCUGCUAAUACCGGAUAUUCAGCUCCUGUCGCAUGGUGGGGGUUGGAAAGUUUUGGUGGUGGAGGAUGGGCUCGCGUCCUAUCAGCUUGUUGGUGGGGUGAUGGCCUACCAAGGCGUCGACGGGUAGCCGGCCUGAGAGGGCGACCGGCCACAUUGGGACUGAGAUACGGCCCAAACUCCUACGGGAGGCAGCAGUGGGGAAUAUUGCACAAUGGGCGGAAGCCUGAUGCAGCAACGCCGCGUGCGGGAUGACGGCCUUCGGGUUGUAAACCGCCUUCAGCAGGGACGAAGCGCAAGUGACGGUACCUGCAGAAGAAGCACCGGCUAACUACGUG
rnacentral:rRNA from 1 species